AGAGUUUGAUCCUGGCUCAGGAUGAACGCUGGCGGCGUGCUUAACACAUGCAAGUCGAACGGAACUAACUCGCUGAAGCGAGCUUGCUCAAUUCUUGAGUUAGUUUAGUGGCGGACGGGUGAGUAACGCGUGGGUAACCUGCCGUAUGCUGGGGGACAACAGUUGGAAACGACUGCUAAUACCGCAUAAGCGCACAGGACCGCAUGGUCUAGUGUGAAAAACUCCGGUGGCAUACGAUGGACCCGCGUCUGAUUAGCUGGUUGGUGAGGUAACGGCCCACCAAGGCGACGAUCAGUAGCCGGCCUGAGAGGGUGAACGGCCACAUUGGGACUGAGACACGGCCCAAACUCCUACGGGAGGCAGCAGUGGGGAAUAUUGCACAAUGGGGGAAACCCUGAUGCAGCGACGCCGCGUGAGUGAAGAAGUAUUUCGGUAUGUAAAGCUCUAUCAGCAAGGAAGAAAAUGACGGUACUUGACUAAGAAGCCCCGGCUAACUACGUGCCAGCAGCCGCGGUAAUACGUAGGGGGCGAGCGUUAUCCGGAAUUAUUGGGCGUAAAGGGUGCGUAGGUGGUUUCCUAAGCAUGGGGUUUAAGGCAAUGGCUUAACCAUUGUUCGCCCCAUGAACUGGGUAACUUGAGUGCUGGAGAGGAAAGCGGAAUUCCUAGUGUAGCGGUGAAAUGCGUAGAUAUUAGGAGGAACACCAGUGGCGAAGGCGGCUUUCUGGACAGUAACUGACACUGAGGCACGAAAGUGUGGGGAGCAAACAGGAUUAGAUACCCUGGUAGUCCACACCGUAAACGAUGAGCACUAGGUGUCGGGGUCGCAAGACUUCGGUGCCGCAGUUAACGCAUUAAGUGCUCCGCCUGGGGAGUACGUACGCAAGUAUGAAACUCAAAGGAAUUGACGGGGACCCGCACAAGCAGCGGAGCAUGUGGUUUAAUUCGAAGCAACGCGAAGAACCUUACCAGGACUUGACAUCCCUCUGACAGCUUUGAUAACGAUAAGCUUUCUUCGGACAGAGGUGACAGGUGGUGCAUGGUUGUCGUCAGCUCGUGUCGUGAGAUGUUGGGUUAAGUCCCGCAACGAGCGCAACCCUUGUUUCUAGUUGCCAUCAUUAAGUUGGGCACUCUAGAGAGACUGCCGGGGAUAACUCGGAGGAAGGUGGGGAUGACGUCAAAUCAUCAUGCCCCUUAUGUUCUGGGCUACACACGUGCUACAAUGGUCGGUACAAAGAGCAGCAAGACCGCGAGGUGGAGCAAAUCUCAAAAGCCGAUCCCAGUUCGGAUUGCAGGCUGCAACUCGCCUGCAUGAAGUCGGAGUUGCUAGUAAUCGUGGAUCAGAAUGCCACGGUGAAUGCAUUCCCGGGUCUUGCACACACCGCCCGUCA
rnacentral:rRNA from 1 species